rnacentral:rRNA from 1 species
CUUCUUGUUUUUAAAGACCUAGCAAUAGGUAUGCUUAGGGAGGAGCUUGCGUCACAUUAGUUAGUUGGUGGGGUAAAGGCCUACCAAGACUAUGAUGUGUAGCCGGGCUGAGAGGUUGAACGGCCACAUUGGGACUGAGACACGGCCCAAACUCCUACGGGAGGCAGCAGUAGGGAAUUUUCGGCAAUGGAGGAAACUCUGACCGAGCAACGCCGCGUGAACGAUGAAGUAUUUCGGUACGUAAAGUUCUUUUAUUAGGGAAGAAUAAAUGAUGGAAAAAUCAUUCUGACGGUACCUAAUGAAUAAGCCCCGGCUAACUAUGUGCCAGCAGCCGCGGUAAUACAUAGGGGGCAAGCGUUAUCCGGAAUUAUUGGGCGUAAAGGGUGCGUAGGCGGUUAAAUAAGUUUAUGGUCUAAGUGCAAUGCUCAACAUUGUGAUGCUAUAAAAACUGUUUAGCUAGAGUAAGAUAGAGGCAAGUGGAAUUCCAUGUGUAGUGGUAAAAUGCGUAAAUAUAUGGAGGAACACCAGUAGCGAAGGCGGCUUGCUGGGUCUUUACUGACGCUGAGGCACGAAAGCGUGGGGAGCAAACAGGAUUAGAUACCCUGGUAGUCCACGCCGUAAACGAUGAGUACUAAACGUUGGGUAAAACCAGUGUUGAAGUUAACACAUUAAGUACUCCGCCUGAGUAGUACGUACGCAAGUAUGAAACUUAAAGGAAUUGACGGGACUCCGCACAAGCGGUGGAUCAUGUUGUUUAAUUCGAAGGUACCCGAAAAACCUCACCAGGUCUUGACAUGCUUCUGCAAAGCUGUAGAAACACAGUGGAGGUUAUCAGUUGCACAGGUGGUGCAUGGUUGUCGUCAGCUCGUGUCGUGAGAUGUUGGGUUAAGUCCCGCAACGAGCGCAACCCUUAUUGUUAGUUACCAGCACGUAAUGGUGGGGACUUUAGAAGACUGCCAGUGAUAAAUUGGAGGAAGGUGGGGACGACGUCAAAUCAUCAUGCCCCUUAUGACCUGGGCUACAAACGUGAUACAAUGGCUGUUACAAAGGGUAGCUGAAGCGCAAGUUUUUGGCGAAUCUCAAAAAAACAGUCUCAGUUCGGAUUGAAGUCUGCAACUCGACUUCAUGAAGUUGGAAUCGCUAGUAAUCGCGAAUCAGCA